rnacentral:rRNA from 1 species
AGAGUUUGAUCAUGGCUCAGGAUGAACGCUGGCGGCGUGCCUAACACAUGCAAGUCGAGCGAAGCGAUUCGGAUGAAGUUUUCGGAUGGAUUUUGGAUUGACUGAGCGGCGGACGGGUGAGUAACGCGUGGGUAACCUGCCUCAUACAGGGGGAUAACAGUUAGAAAUGACUGCUAAUACCGCAUAAGCGCACAGUACCGCAUGGUACGGUGUGAAAAACUCCGGUGGUAUGAGAUGGACCCGCGUCUGAUUAGGUAGUUGGCGGGGUAACGGCCCACCAAAGCGACGAUCAGUAGCCGGCCUGAGAGGGUGGACGGCCACAUUGGGACUGAGACACGGCCCAAACUCCUACGGGAGGCAGCAGUGGGGAAUAUUGCACAAUGGGGGAAACCCUGAUGCAGCAACGCCGCGUGAGUGAAGAAGUAUUUCGGUAUGUAAAGCUCUAUCAGCAGGGAAGAAGAUGACGGUACCUGACUAAGAAGCCCCGG